ACGCCUUAAACUUAUGAGUAAGGAAAAUAACAAUUUGGGGUGAUACCGGAAUCCUCACUGCUAAUGUGAGACGAAAUUUUGAGCGGGUAAAGGAUGCCGCUGAGGUGACCUGCCUACUUUGCGGAAUGCCUGGGAGCCUCGAUCUGCCCU
ensembl:snRNA U12 U12 minor spliceosomal RNA